rnacentral:tRNA from 1 species
GAGACUUUAAGUUAAAAUUAAACUAAUAGCCUUCAAAGUUAUUUAUAUCUAAGAUUUGGUAAGUCUUA